CUGUUCAUGCAAAGGGAAGCUGAGUUUGCUCAAUUUUUCAAUCUGCUCGAUCAUGUACAAUACAAGAUUGGUAAUAGAUGCACCCUCCCACAUCUGGGCAUUAAAUAUGGUGCAACUAGUCUUGUGCCGCUCAACAUCAUCAGGAGUACCAAAAGAAUCCCUCAACACUUGAAGUAUUUCCUCUGACUGAGCUUCUUCAAACUUUCAACUGAACUCAUCAUUCAAGGAGGCCCGCAUGAUGUAAUGAACCAUGGUACGAUCGUUG
rnacentral:lncRNA from 1 species